ACACUCCUACGGGAGGCAGCAGUAGGGAAUCUUCCACAAUGGGUGCAAACCUGAUGGAGCAAUGCCGCGUGAGUGAAGAAGGUCUUCGGAUCGUAAAGCUCUGUUGUUAGAGAAGAACACGUGCUAGGUAACUACUAGCGCCUUGACGGUAUCUAACCAGAAAGUCACGGCUAACUACGUGCCAGCAGCCGCGGUAAUACGUAGGUGACAAGCGUUGUCCGGAUUUAUUGGGCGUAAAGGGAGCGCAGGCGGUCUGUUUAGUCUAAUGUGAAAGCCCACGGCUUAACCGUGGAACGGCAUUGGAAACUGACAGACUUGAAUGUAGAAGAGGAAAAUGGAAUUCCAAGUGUAGCGGUGGAAUGCGUAGAUAUUUGGAGGAACACCAGUGGCGAAGGCGAUUUUCUGGUCUAACAUUGACGCUGAGGCUCGAAAGCGUGGGGAGCGAACAGGAUUAGAAACCCGUGUAGUCCCAUGA
rnacentral:rRNA from 1 species